rnacentral:rRNA from 1 species
GACGUAGGGGGCCAGCGUUGUUCGGAAUUACUGGGCGUAAAGGGCUCGUAGGCGGCCAACUAAGUCCGACGUGAAAUCCCCAGGCUUAACCUGGGAACUGCGUCGGAUACUGGAUGGCUUGAAUUCGGGAGAGGGAUGCAGAAUUCCAGGUGUAGCGGUGAAAUGCGUAGAUAUCUGGAGGAAUACCGGUGGCGAAGGCGGCAUCCUGGACCGACAUUGACGCUGAGGAGCGAAAAGCUAGGGGAGCAAACGGGG